UACGGGGGGGGCAAGCGUUGUUCGGAAUUACUGAGCGGAAAGGGCUCGUAGGCGGCCAACUAAGUCAGACGUGAAAUCCCUCGGCUUAACCGGGGAACUGCGUCUGAUACUGGAUGGCUUGAGUUUGGGAGAGGGAUGCGGAAUUCCAGGUGUAGCGGUGAAAUGCGUAGAUAUCUGGAGGAACACCGGUGGCGAAGGCGGCAUCCUGGACCAACACUGACGCUGAGUGAGCGAAAGCCAGGGGAGCAAACGGG
rnacentral:rRNA from 1 species